rnacentral:rRNA from 1 species
AUUGAACGCUGGCGGCAGGCCUAACACAUGCAAGUCGAACGGUAACAGGAAGAAGCUUGCUUCUUUGCUGACGAGUGGCGGACGGGUGAGUAAUGUCUGGGAAACUGCCUGAUGGAGGGGGAUAACUACUGGAAACGGUAGCUAAUACCGCAUAACGUCGCAAGACCAAAGAGGGGGACCUUCGGGCCUCUUGCCAUCGGAUGUGCCCAGAUGGGAUUAGCUAGUAGGUGGGGUAACGGCUCACCUAGGCGACGAUCCCUAGCUGGUCUGAGAGGAUGACCAGCCACACUGGAACUGAGACACGGUCCAGACUCCUACGGGAGGCAGCAGUGGGGAAUAUUGCACAAUGGGCGCAAGCCUGAUGCAGCCAUGCCGCGUGUAUGAAGAAGGCCU